rnacentral:rRNA from 1 species
UGAGGAAUAUUGGUCAAUGGGUGCAAACCUGAACCAGCCAUGCCGCGUGAAGGACGAAGGCUCUACGAGUCGUAAACUUCUUUUGUAAGGGAAUAAACCUGGAUACGUGUAUCCAGCUGAAGGUACUUUACGAAUAAGCAUCGGCUAACUCCGUGCCAGCAGCCGCGGUAAUACGGAGGAUGCAAGCGUUAUCCGGAUUUAUUAGGUUUAAAGGGUGUGUAGGCGGAUUGAUAAGUCAGCGGUGAAAUCCCACAGCUUAACUGUGGCACUGCCGUUGAUACUGUUGGUCUUGAAUGCAGUUGAAGUAGGCGGAAUGUGUAAUGUAGCGGUGAAAUGCUUAGAUAUUACACAGAACACCGAUUGCGUAGGCAGCUUACUAAACUGUGAUUGACGCUGAGGCACGAAAGCGUGGGGAGCAAACAGG